GACGUAGGGCGCGAGCGUUGUCCGGAUUUAUUGGGCGUAAAGAGCUCGUAGGCGGUCUGUCGCGUCUGCUGUGAAAACUCGGGGCUUAACCCCGGGCCUGCAGUGGGUACGGGCAGACUAGAGUGCGGUAGGGGAGACUGGAAUUCCUGGUGUAGCGGUGAAAUGCGCAGAUAUCAGGAGGAACACCCGGUGGCGAAGGCGGGAUCUCUGGGCCGUAACUGACGCUGAGGAGCGAAAGCAUGGGGAGCGAACAGG
rnacentral:rRNA from 1 species